GAUGAACGCUAGCGGCAGGCCUAACACAUGCAAGUAGAACGCUGAAGGAGGAGCUUGCUUCUCUGGAUGAGUUGCGAACGGGUGAGUAACGCGUAGGUAACCUGCCUGGUAGCGGGGGAUAACUAUUGGAAACGAUAGCUAAUACCGCAUAAGAGUAGAUGUUGCAUGACAUUUGCUUAAAAGGUGCAAUUGCAUCACUACCAGAUGGACCUGCGUUGUAUUAGCUAGUUGGUGGGGUAACGGCUCACCAAGGCGACGAUACAUAGCCGACCUGAGAGGGUGAUCGGCCACACUGGGACUGAGACACGGCCCAGACUCCUACGGGAGGCAGCAGUAGGGAAUCUUCGGCAAUGGACGGAAGUCUGACCGAGCAACGCCGCGUGAGUGAAGAAGGUUUUCGGAUCGUAAAGCUCUGUUGUAAGAGAAGAACGAGUGUGAGAGCGGAAAGUUCACACUGUGACGGUAUCUUACCAGAAAGGGACGGCUAACUACGUGCCAGCAGCCGCGGUAAUACGUAGGUGGCAAGCGUUAUCCGGAUUUAUUGGGCGUAAAGAGAGUGCAGGCGGUUUUCUAAGUCUGAUGUGAAAGCCUUCGGCUUAACCGGAGAAGUGCAUCGGAAACUGGAUAACUUGAGUGCAGAAGAGGGUAGUGGAACUCCAUGUGUAGCGGUGGAAUGCGUAGAUAUAUGGAAGAACACCAGUGGCGAAGGCGGCUACUUGGUCUGCAACUGACGCUGAGACUCAAAAGCAUGGGUAGCCGAACAGG
rnacentral:rRNA from 1 species